UUUAAUCAUUGUAGUAAGCAUCUGGAGCCUCAGAUAUACCAUUUACAGCAUGGUUUCAUGAAGGGUCGAUCAACAGUAACACAACUUGUCGAGGUCUAUGAUGAUAUUGUAAACUCUGUCGCAAAUGGAAAGGAGGUAGAUGUGUUGUAUCUUGAUCUAGCCAAAGCAUUUGACAAAGUGCCUCAUAAUUUGUUACUCUUGAAACUUCAGUUGCAUGGUAUCACAGGUCCACUAUUGUUAUGGAUGAAGAGUUAUCUUUCUGAACGAAAACAGAGGGUUGUCCUGGAGGGUGCUUCUUCUGAUUGGUUACCAGUAACAUCAGGCGUGCCACAGGGCUCCAUUCUAGGACCUUUGUUGUUUUUGGUUUAUGUGAAUGAUCUACCAAGUUGCAUUAUUAACAACUCGAAUAUUGCACUUUUCGCUGAUGACUCGAAAUUGUAUCGGGCGAUGGACAUAAAUUAUGACCAUAACUUACUUCAAGCCGAUUUAGACUGUCUACAUACAUGGAGCCUCAGUUCGGGAUUAGACUUCAAUUCGCGGAAAUGCAAAGUAUUACAUAUUUCAAAGAAAAGGUUAACUCGGGAAAUGAAUAGAAAUUACAGUCUUGGUGACCAACCGAUUGAGUGUGUGCCUUCAUUUGUCGACCUCGGGAUUACUAUAUGUCACAAUUUAUCCUGGGCAGAUCAUAUUGAGAAAAUUGUUGUUAAAGCUAACAGGACCCUUGGGCUAAUGAAAAGGAUUUUCCGUGAUUUGCAAGAUAUACAAACUAGAAAAAUAAUAUACUGUGCUCUUGUACGACCCAAGCUGGAAUAUGGUAGUAGUCUUUGGUCGCCUUACAUCAAGAAAUACG